rnacentral:rRNA from 1 species
CCCUUCACUACGGAAUAGCCUCUGGAAACGGAGAGUAAUACCGUAUGCGCCCUUCGGGGAAAGAUUUAUCGGUGAAGGAUUAGCCCGCGUCUGAUUAGAUAGUUGGUGGGGUAACGGCCUACCAAGUCGACGAUCAGUAGCUGGUUUGAGAGGAUGAUCAGCAACACUGGGACUGAGACACGGCCCAGACUCCUACGGGAGGCAGCAGUGGGGAAUCUUAGACAAUGGGCGCAAGUGAUCUAGCCAUGCCGCGUGAGUGACGAAGGCCUUAGGGUCGUAAAGCUCUUUCGCCAGGGAUGAUAAUGACAGUACCUGGUAAAGAAACCCCGGCUAACUCCGUGCCAGCAGCCGCGGUAAUACGGAGGGGGUUAGCGUUGUUCGGAAUUACUGGGCGUAAAGCGCGCGUAGGGGAUUGGAAAGUUGGGGGUGAAAUCCCGGGGCUCAACCCCGAACUGCCUCCAAAACUAUCAGUCUAGAGUUCGAGAGAGGUGAGUGGAAUUCCAAGUGUAGAGGUGAAAUUCGUAGAUAUUUGGAGGAA